rnacentral:rRNA from 1 species
AGAGGUUGAUCCUGGCUCGAACGAACGCUGGCGGCAUGCCUAACACAUGCAAGUCGAACGAGACCUUCGGGUCUAGUGGCGCACGGGUGCGUAACGCGUGGGAAUCUACCCUUGGGUUCGGAAUAACAGUUAGAAAUGACUGCUAAUACCGGAUGAUGUCGUAAGACCAAAGAUUUAUCGCCCAAGGAUGAGCCCGCGUAAGAUUAGCUAGUUGGUGGGGUAAAGGCCUACCAAGGCUACGAUCUUUAGCUGGUCUGAGAGGAUGAUCAGCCACACUGGGACUGAGACACGGCCCAGACUCCUACGGGAGGCAGCAGUGGGGAAUAUUGGACAAUGGGCGAAAGCCUGAUCCAGCAAUGCCGCGUGAGUGAUGAAGGCCUUAGGGUUGUAAAGCUCUUUUACCCGGGAUGAUAAUGACAGUACCGGGAGAAUAAGCCCCGGCUAACUCCGUGCCAGCAGCCGCGGUAAUACGGAGGGGGCUAGCGUUGUUCGGAAUUACUGGGCGUAAAGCGUGCGUAGGCGGUAAUUCAAGUCAGAGGUGAAAGCCUGGUGCUCAACAUCAGAACUGCCUUUGAAACUAGAUUGCUAGAAUUGCGGAGAGGUGAGUGGAAUUCCGAGUGUAGAGGUGAAAUUCUUAGAUAUUCGGAAGAACACCAGUGGCGAAGGCGGCUCACUGGACGCAUAUUGACGCUGAGGUACGAAAGCGUGCGGAGCAAACAGGAUUAGAUACCCUGGUAGUCCACGCUGUAAACGAUGAUAACUAGUUGUCAGGUUCAUAGAACUUUGGUGACGCAGCUAACGCAUUAACUUAUCCGCCUGGGGAGUACGGUCGCAGAUUAAAACUACACGAAUUGACGGGGGCCUGCACAGCAGCGGAGGCAUGUGGUUGAAUUCGUAGCAUCACGCAGAA